rnacentral:misc_RNA from 1 species
GAUGAAGAACGUAGCGAAAUGCGAUAAGUAAUGUGAAUUGCAGAAUUCAGUGAAUCAUCGAAUCUUUGAACGCACAUUGCGCCCGCCAGUAUUCUGGCGGGCAUGCCUGUUCGAGCGUCAUUUCAACCAUCAAGCCCCCCGGCUUGUGUUGGGGACCUGCGGCUGCCGCAGGCCCUGAAAAGCAGUGGCGGGCUCGCUGUCACACCGAGCGUAGUAGCAUACAUCUCGCUCUGGGCGUGCUGCGGGUUCCGGCCGUUAAACCACCUUCAUAACCCAAGGUUGACCUCGGAUCAGGUAGGAAGACCCGCUGAACUUAAGCAUAUCAAUGAGCGGAGGA